CUCUUCUGGAUCUGCAAAAUGCUUUCAAUUUACCCAUACAAAUAUAAUACAGUAGUUUAGGAGAUUAAGAUUACCUCACUUAUAAAUUUCAGAAAUUGUCUAAUCUCUAUUAAAAAUACCAUUUUAUUAUUACCCCAUAAUCAAUGAGGCAUACUAGAUGAAUCUUACUUUGACACAAACAAUGCAAUAUACUUUAAAAGUAGAGUUAACUCUGAGCUGGACAAUACUCCCCUAUUAGAACUCCUUUAUGA